UUUAACCUUCGGGGUGAGGUGUAAUUCCUCGAUCGGUGGUGAAAGCCCACGACUCUCCGCCCUUGGCGGAGACUGAACCUGUGAAACUCAGGUGCCGACGGUUAAAGUCCGGAUGGUAGAAGGUUAGA
rnacentral:ncRNA from 2 species